rnacentral:lncRNA from 1 species
ACAAUGCGCUAUAUCUUUUCUUCCCAGGUUUGAUUUAUUGACCCGUUCGAUCUGUGAAACUGAAGUUGAUAUAUUUAUUUAUUUUUGGUAGGCGCCGACGAUCACAUUCGGAUAAUAAAAAGGAAAAUGAUUUCGUAGAUUCCAUGGCGUACAAACUUCACUUGCAAGGGAAACGGAGUUCUUUGGUUUUCUGAUCCUGAAAUAAACUCAAACAUUUCUGCUUCAAGCGAAACGCAUAUCGAUGUUUUUUCUAACUGACCGAAAUGUUUAUGAUCUAGACGUAAAAAACACAACUGUACCAUCCAAUCUUAACACUGCUAAGUAAACGAGUUAAAGAAAAUGACACAAACGGGCGAUCUCAAUGGCAACAUAGGCGGGUUUUCUUUCAAGAUUCUAACAUCACAAGGAUGCUUAGAUGCAAGCUGUGAUACAUUGUUAUUCAAUGUAACUGCAAAUGAUAACGGUAUGUUAUUGUAGCAACAUGUUAUGUUAUAGUAUAUUCC